GGAACCCAAUCCAUUAGCCACGGAGAAACCUGCUCUGGGUAGAUAUUGAACUUAUUAGUGGCAUCCAUAGAGUACUCCUCUGUCUUGUAACGUUAGCAUCUCACGAGAAGACCGUAGAGCGGAGUAAAACAAAGCCUGUGAGAUCAACAGAAUCAUCAUGCCAUGUUAGUCAAACUUUUCUUUUUGAGAAUUAUAAUCAAGAUGAACUUAUAUGUGUGAUUACUUGGAUCUCAAGAGGGUGACCGUGGAUACCCAUUCGUCGAUCUAUCAUGCAAGAGCCAUCAGUGACCAACAGUGUGGGAAACAUAUCAAAUCCGUCAGCUAAACACAGAUUGAAGAAGCUGCAAAGUACUGACCAGAAUCAACAGGAGCAACACGACCUAUAGCUGCUUCGCCAAAAUCUGGAUCCAAAACCUCUUCGAACUUGUCCUCUUCGAGAGGGAAUGAGCAUCAAUACCUGCAACUGCAGUGUGUGAAGAAGGAAAUUUCGAACAAUUUCGCUUUCUCCCUUCAGCAGAAAAGCAAGAGCCGAA